UCAAAAGCUCUCCCUCUUCUCUAACUUAUAUGUCCACCCAAAUCCUCCAUUGAAGAACUUUCAAGAUCCCAGUAAGAGGGUCAAUUCUUAGAAGUUUCAAUCCAAAUUUCGUGGGCUUCUCAAUACAAAGGUUUGGGUCGUUGAAGUCAUUCAAAGUACAUUUCUCAUGAUACUUGGAUUGGUCUUUCCAUUUUUGUGAGUGUUCAUGUUCGAGGACACUACACUUAUGAUUCUAUCUUUAGUUUUUUUGUACAUUGAGAAACUAUGUUGUAUUUCCUAUUCUAGACUUCUUAUAUUAUGUAAGGGCUAAGUCCCAAAUUCUUAA